rnacentral:rRNA from 1 species
GACGAACGCUGGCGGCGUGCUUAACACAUGCAAGUCGAACGGAAAGGCCCUGCUUUUGUGGGGUGCUCGAGUGGCGAACGGGUGAGUAACACGUGAGUAACCUGCCCUUGACUUUGGGAUAACUUCAGGAAACUGGGGUUAAUACCGGCUAGGAGCUCCUGCUGCAUGGUGGGGGUUGGAAUGUUUCGGCGGUUGGGGAUGGACUCGCGGCUUACCAGCUUGUUGGUGGGGUAGUGGCUUACCAAGGCUUUGACGGAUCGCCGGCCUGAGAGGGUGACCGGCCACAAUAGGACUGAGAUACGGACCAGACGCGUACGGGAGGCAGCAGUGGGGAGCAUUAUACAGUGGGCGGGAGCCUAAGGCAGCGACGCCGGGUGCGGGAAGAAGGCCUUCGGGGGGUGAAGCGAUUUCGCCUGAGACGAAGCGUGAGUGACGGUAACGGGAGAAGAAGCACCGGCUAACUACGUG